GUUAUAACUUGUAACUGGAGCCGUUGAGGUUACCUUUUCAAGUUUUGUAUUGUGCGGAAUGCCUACGGCCCCUGUGUAAUUAGCUAGCAUCUUUAUUGCCUUUGAAUUGGGAUCAUAACUGAAUUCUGCAAGAAUUGAUGGUGCAAAUUUGCUAAUUUCAUAUUCAUUAAAGGACUGAAUUAGUUCAUAUUGUGAGGUUUCCACGGUGAUCCUUCAAAGAACCAACCCCAUUUUUGAAGAAUGAAGUUUCAAGUGUGUG
rnacentral:misc_RNA from 1 species